AUUGAACGCUGGCGGCAUGCUCUACACAUGCAAGUCGAACGGUAACAGGCCGCAAGGUGCUGACGAGUGGCGAACGGGUGAGUAAUGCAUCGGAACGUGCCCAGUCGUGGGGGAUAACUACUCGAAAGAGUAGCUAAUACCGCAUACGAUCUAUGGAUGAAAGCGGGGGACCGUAAGGCCUCGCGCGAUUGGAGCGGCCGAUGUCAGAUUAGGUAGUUGGUGGGGUAAAGGCUCACCAAGCCAACGAUCUGUAGCUGGUCUGAGAGGACGACCAGCCACACUGGGACUGAGACACGGCCCAGACUCCUACGGGAGGCAGCAGUGGGGAAUUUUGGACAAUGGGCGCAAGCUUGAUCCAGCAAUGCCGCGUGCAGGAAGAAGGCCUUCGGGUUGUAAACUGCUUUUGUACGGAACGAAACGGCUCUGGUUAAUACCCGGGGCUAAUGACGGUACCGUAAGAAUAAGCACCGGCUAACUACGUG
rnacentral:rRNA from 1 species